UUUCAAGUAUAAAAAAGGGCGCCGCUUACGGCCGGUUUCUUCCACCUACUGCAACUCUCCAUUUACACCCAUUCUUUUGUGCUUCCAUUUCUGUUGCUUCUCUCUGUACUCUCCAUUUUCGAUCUUCUCUCUGAGUGUUUCCAUCAGGAGCAAGACCACGAACCAUGGCUUUCCAGAAGAUCAAGGUCGCCAAUCCCAUCGUUGAGAUGGACGGAGAUGAAAUGACUCGAGUUAUCUGGGAGUCAAUUAAGAAUAAGCUUAUUUUCCCAUUUUUGGAAUUGGACAUCAAGUAUUUUGACCUUGGCCUUCCACACCGUGAUGCCACAGAUGAUAAAGUUACAAUUGAAAGUGCAGAAGCUACUUUAAAGUACAAUGUAGCAAUCAAAUGUGCAACAAUUACUCCAGAUGAGGCACGUGUUAAGGAAUUUGGCUUGAAGCAGAUGUGGAGAAGUCCAAAUGGAACAAUCAGGAAUAUUCUGAAUGGAACUGUCUUCAGAGAACCGAUUCUUUGCAAAAAUGUUCCUCGCCUUGUACCAGGUUGGACGAAGCCUAUCUGUAUUGGAAGACAUGCUUUUGGUGAUCAAUACAGAGCUACUGAUACAGUCAUCAGAGGACCUGGGAAAUUGAAAUUAGUUUUUGAGGGGCAGGAGACGCAAGAGAUAGAGGUUUUCAAUUUCACUGGUGCUGGAGGAGUUGCGUUAGCCAUGUAUAACACUGAUGAGUCCAUCCGAUCUUUUGCUGAGGCAUCAAUGGCCACUGCUUAUGAGAAGAAAUGGCCCCUUUACCUUAGCACAAAAAAUACUAUUCUAAAGAAAUACGAUGGAAGAUUCAAGGAUAUAUUCCAAGAAGUCUACGAAUCUCAGUGGAAAUCAAAGUUUGAGGCUGCUGGCAUAUGGUAUGAACACCGUCUCAUCGAUGAUAUGGUGGCUUAUGCCCUUAAGAGUGAAGGAGGUUAUGUCUGGGCAUGCAAGAACUAUGAUGGAGAUGUUCAGAGUGAUUUCUUAGCUCAAGGAUUUGGAUCUCUUGGCUUGAUGACUUCUGUAUUGGUUUGUCCUGAUGGAAAAACAAUUGAAGCAGAAGCAGCUCAUGGCACUGUUACACGACAUUUUAGGGUUCAUCAAAAAGGUGGUGAAACCAGCACAAACAGCAUAGCAUCCAUCUUUGCUUGGUCUCGUGGCCUUGCUCACAGGGCUAAACUAGAUGACAAUGCUAGUCUCUUAGAGUUCACCGAGAAACUAGAAUUGGCUUGUAUCGAUACUGUGGAAUCUGGAAAGAUGACCAAGGAUCUUGCUCUUAUCCUUCAUGGAUCCAAGCUUUCUCGUGACCAAUAUCUGAAUACUGAGGAGUUCAUUGAUGCUGUUGCUGAGGAACUAAAAUCCAGACUCCUCAAGGCAUAGUGGUAUUUUAAAUGUUCAAUGGUCAAUAAUUGUUAAGAAUAUCUUUCUCAUUUCAUCUUCUUUCCUAAGGUACAUAGUUUGGUGGGAUAUUGUUAAUGCAUUUGGCUUCUAACUAUCAACUCAACUAGGCUAUAGUCAUCUUGAGGUUGUUUAACAGUUACUUCUUUUACAAUCAUUUAUCCAAUCUCUUGUGCACUGUAUUCGGCCAUUUUAGGUAAUUGCACUACCAUUUUGUUGGUAAAUAAGUUGGUAAAGACGAUAUAUCUUAGAGAUUUUUAUCCUGCUCACAGAAAAAGGCAAUUGCUUUCUUGGUUCCUCAGUUUUUCAGUGCUUCCUUUUGCAUUAUGUGGAAAUUGUUGUGUUUUGAUCAAGAUAUUGAAUAAUUUCAUUUGAGGAUAAAUUUGGUUAUGAAGAGCUGUUGUGGUGGAAUUUGUUGGAAGUAUGGUGACAUACUUCAUAACUAUAAUUGAACUUGAGAUGUUCACUCUAUCGUGAAGUAAGAUCCUACUUUUUUUGUGGACUUAGAAAGCCUCUUACUGCAUUGGAACUAUUCUAAGGUGGGCACUUGUUAGGUGGAUUACUAGUUGAAGCGUGAUUCCCCACUUCUACUUGUUGGGUAUGUUGCAUAUUUGCUUCCACCAAUUUCUGAAUGGGAAUAUCAAAUUAACAUUUAGGUCUCAAGAAAAGAUAGCACUCUGAUAGACCACCAAUUAUACACCAGUAUAGUAGAAAGAAGAAGAAGCAGGGAGCAACCGCACGUGCCCAGGAAAAUAGCCUUUAAUAUUGUUAGUAGAUAUUUCAUAAUUUUGUGAGUAUAAAUAGGAGGUUGUUAAGGAGAGAGAGAGUUAGUUAGAAAGUUUCAUUUUGGCUGCAUGCUAUUCCUUGAGAGAUAGGAAGACAGGAGAGUUUUCGUAUUUCUGAAUUGAGGAGUUCUCAAUUUGACUUGUUGUAUUUCCUACUGUUUACUAAAGUAUUACUCAAGUAAUAAAGUAAAUUUUACUUGAUUCAAGACGAGUUCCAUCAAAUUGGUAUCAAAGCACGUCGAUUUUGGGCAAGGGAAAAACAAUGGUUCACACGCGAGCAGAAGAAAGAAUGGAAGCGCACGAUCAGGAAAUGAUGUGGAUAAAGAAAGAAGUAAGAUUCUGAAGAAAGAUUAACGUUGAUCAGUAUGCAAACGGAAAAGACGCAUCAAAUGUUGGUGCUUGUGAAUUCGAUUGCGAAGGAGCGGACUAUGACCAAUUAGAAAAUGGCCGAAUACAGUGCACAAGAGAUUGGAUACAAGAAAAAUAAUGAAGGAGAGAGUUGACAAGCAGACGAGGCGAGAGCGAAGCGAAGGAAAAGAAAAACGAGGAAGAAGAGGGAGCGAAUGAAAGAAACAAAUUCAAGAAAGUUGAAAUGCCAUAUUCAACGGUGAGGAUCCCGAUUCCUAGUGUUUCCGUGCUGAUCGGUAUUUACAGAUUCAUAAAUUGAACGAUGCUGAGAAAGUGUUGGUUGCGAUUGUCAACUUUGAAGGCCCAACAUUGAAUUGGUGCAGGGCACAGGAGAAACGUGAUAGGAGAAAUGUGAUAAGUUUACUGGAUGGAUAAACCACAAAGGGAGAGUACUUGUGCGUUUUCGAUCGGCAAGAGAGGGAUCCAUCUGCGGGCAAUUUCUAAGAAUUAAACAACAAGCCACGGUGGAAGAAUAUUGUAAUGAGUUCGAUAAACUAAUGGCACCACUCGCUGAUCUGCAAGAUCGAGUGGUAGAGGAAAUCUUUAUGAACGGUUUGUUUCCAUGGAUCAAGGCGGAGGUGGUUUUUUGUAGACCGGUCGGUUUAGCCAAGAUGAUGCACGUGGCUCAACUCGUGGAAAACCGGGAGAUCAUUCGCAAUGAGGCUAAUCUAAACAGUUAUGCCAAUGGCUAGAUUGUGAAGACUGAUCGCUGAAAUACAUGAAUUGAAGUAGAGAGGAGACAGACUAACGAAAACGGGAACUAUGUUGAAUCUGUUGUUGGUGGCUCUCUGAGGUUGUUACUGUUUUGUUCUGUAUUUGAAAAAUGUUGACUUUAAUUGUCAAAUAAUGAAAACUUAAGCUUCAGUUGUCAUAAUCUAUUCCCCAUUCUACACUUGGCUUGAAUCUGGAAUGUGUAAUUUUUGUCUUAGUUUCUGGUUCAGUGAGUUGCUUGCAAUAAGUAAUCAUCUUGGUUUUCUUGGUCA